rnacentral:rRNA from 1 species
GACGAACGCUGGCGGCGUGCUUAACACAUGCAAGUCGAGUGAUGAAAGCCUUAUGAACUAUUCGUAGUGAUUGGGGCCGGAUUAGCGGCGGACGGGUGAGUAACGCGUGAGCAACCUGCCUUAAACAACGGGAUAGCCUCGGGAAACCGGGAUUAAUACCGUAUGAGACCCCGCCUUCACAUGAAGAAGAGGUUAAAGAUUAUCGGGUUAAGAUGGGAUCGCGUGUGAUGAGCUAGUGGGUGAGAUAAAAGCCCACCAAGGCAACGAUAAGUAACCGGCGCGCGAGAGCAGACGGUCAGAGGGGAACUGAAGCACGGUCCAAACUCCGACGGGAGGCAGCAGGGGGGAAGAUUGCACAAUGGGGGAAACCCUGAUGCAGCGACGCCUCGUGAGCGAUGAAGGAAUUCGUGUCGUAAAGCUCGGUCCAAGGAGAAAGUAAUGACAGUACCCUUGGAGGAAGCCCCGGCUAAAUACGUGCCAGCCGCCGCAGUAA